GAGGGGCAGCAUGGUCUUAGCUUGCUAAGGCCGAUGGCGACCGGCGCACGGGUGAGUAACACGUAUCCAACCUGCCGUCUACUCUUGGACAGCCUUCUGAAAGGAAGAUUAAUACAAGAUGGCAUCAUGAGUCCGCAUGUUCACAUGAUUAAAGGUAUUCCGGUAGACGAUGGGGAUGCGUUCCAUUAGAUAGUAGGCGGGGUAACGGCCCACCUAGUCUUCGAUGGAUAGGGGUUCUGAGAGGAAGGUCCCCCACAUUGGAACUGAGACACGGUCCAAACUCCUACGGGAGGCAGCAGUGAGGAAUAUUGGUCAAUGGGCGAGAGCCUGAACCAGCCAAGUAGCGUGAAGGAUGACUGCCCUAUGGGUUGUAAACUUCUUUUAUAAAGGAAUAAAGUCGGGUAUGGAUACCCGUUUGCAUGUACUUUAUGAAUAAGGAUCGGCUAACUCCGUGCCAGCAGCCGCGGUAAUACGGAGGAUCCGAGCGUUAUCCGGAUUUAUUGGGUUUAAAGGGAGCGUAGAUGGAUGUUUAAGUCAGUUGUGAAAGUUUGCGGCUCAACCGUAAAAUUGCAGUUGAUACUGGAUAUCUUGAGUGCAGUUGAGGCAGGCGGAAUUCGUGGUGUAGCGGUGAAAUGCUUAGAUAUCACGAAGAACUCCGAUUGCGAAGGCAGCCUGCUAAGCUGCAACUGACAUUGAGGCUCGAAAGUGUG
rnacentral:rRNA from 1 species